rnacentral:rRNA from 1 species
CUGUGAGCUCGAUGAGUAGGGCGGGACACGUGGUAUCCUGUCUGAAUAUGGGGGGACCAUCCUCCAAGGCUAAAUACUCCUGACUGACCGAUAGUGAACCAGUACCGUGAGGGAAAGGCGAAAAGAACCCCGGCGAGGGGAGUGAAAAAGAACCUGAAACCGUGUACGUACAAGCAGUGGGAGCCUCUUUUAUGGGGUGACUGCGUACCUUUUGUAUAAUGGGUCAGCGACUUAUAUUCUGUAGCAAGGUUAACCGAAUAGGGGAGCCGAAGGGAAACCGAGUCUUAACUGGGCGUUAAGUUGCAGGGUAUAGACCCGAAACCCGGUGAUCUAGCCAUGGGCAGGUUGAAGGUUGGGUAACACUAACUGGAGGACCGAACCGACUAAUGUUGAAAAAUUAGCGGAUGACUUGUGGCUGGGGGUGAAAGGCCAAUCAAACCGGGAGAUAGCUGGUUCUCCCCGAAAGCUAUUUAGGUAGCGCCUCGUGAAUUCAUCUCCGGGGGUAGAGCACUGUUUCGGCAAGGGGGUCAUCCCGACUUACCAACCCGAUGCAAACUGCGAAUACCGGAGAAUGUUAUCACGGGAGACACACGGCGGGUGCUAACGUCCGUCGUGAAGAGGGAAACAACCCAGACCGCCAGCUAAGGUCCCAAAGUCAUGGUUAAGUGGGAAACGAUGUGGGAAGGCCCAGACAGCCAGGAUGUUGGCUUAGAAGCAGCCAUCAUUUAAAGAAAGCGUAAUAGCUCACUGGUCGAGUCGGCCUGCGCGGAAGAUGUAACGGGGCUAAACCAUGCACCGAAGCUGCGGCAGCGACGCUUAUGCGUUGUUGGGUAGGGGAGCGUUCUGUAAGCCUGUGAAGGUGUGCUGUGAGGCAUGCUGGAGGUAUCAGAAGUGCGAAUGCUGACAUAAGUAACGAUAAAGCGGGUGAAAAGCCCGCUCGCCGGAAGACCAAGGGUUCCUGUCCAACGUUAAUCGGGGCAGGGUGAGUCGACCCCUAAGGCGAGGCCGAAAGGCGUAGUCGAUGGGAAACAGGUUAAUAUUCCUGUACUUGGUGUUACUGCGAAGGGGGGACGGAGAAGGCUAUGUUGGCCGGGCGACGGUUGUCCCGGUUUAAGCGUGUAGGCUGGUUUUCCAGGCAAAUCCGGAAAAUCAAGGCUGAGGCGUGAUGACGAGGCACUACGGUGCUGAAGCAACAAAUGCCCUGCUUCCAGGAAAAGCCUCUAAGCAUCAGGUAACAUCAAAUCGUACCCCAAACCGACACAGGUGGUCAGGUAGAGAAUACCAAGGCGCUUGAGAGAACUCGGGUGAAGGAACUAGGCAAAAUGGUGCCGUAACUUCGGGAGAAGGCACGCUGAUAUGUAGGUGAAGCGACUUGCUCGUGGAGCUGAAAUCAGUCGAAGAUACCAGCUGGCUGCAACUGUUUAUUAAAAACACAGCACUGUGCAAACACGAAAGUGGACGUAUACGGUGUGACGCCUGCCCGGUGCCGGAAGGUUAAUUGAUGGGGUCAGCGCAAGCGAAGCUCUUGAUCGAAGCCCCGGUAAACGGCGGCCGUAACUAUAACGGUCCUAAGGUAGCGAAAUUCCUUGUCGGGUAAGUUCCGACCUGCACGAAUGGCGUAAUGAUGGCCAGGCUGUCUCCACCCGAGACUCAGUGAAAUUGAACUCGCUGUGAAGAUGCAGUGUACCCGCGGCAAGACGGAAAGACCCCGUGAACCUUUACUAUAGCUUGACACUGAACAUUGAGCCUUGAUGUGUAGGAUAGGUGGGAGGCUUUGAAGUGUGGACGCCAGUCUGCAUGGAGCCGACCUUGAAAUACCACCCUUUAAUGUUUGAUGUUCUAACGUUG